rnacentral:rRNA from 1 species
UACGUAGGGGGCAAGCGUUGUCCGGAUUUACUGGGCGUAAAGCGCGUGUAGGCGGUUGGGUAAGUCUGCUGUGAAAGCUCCUCGCUUAACGGGGAGAGGUCGGUGGAAACUGCUCAACUUGAGGACGGUAGAGGGGGGUGGAAUUCCCGGUGUAGUGGUGAAAUGCGUAGAGAUCGGGAGGAACACCAGCGGCGAAGGCGGGUCUCUGGACAGUUCCUGACGCUGAGGCACGAAGGCCAGGGGAGCAAACGGG